AUUGAACGCUGGCGGCAGGCCUAACACAUGCAAGUCGAACGAGUGGCGGACGGGUGAGUAAUGUCUGGGAAACUGCCUGAUGGAGGGGGAUAACUACUGGAAACGGUAGCUAAUACCGCAUACCAUCAGAUGUGCCCAGAUGGGCUUAGCUAGUUGGUGGGGUAACGGCUCACCAAGGCGACGAUCCCUAGCUGGUCUGAGAGGAUGACCGGGCAAUGUGGAACUGGGAGACGGUCCAGACGCCUACGGGCGGCAGCAGUGGGAAAUAUUGCACAAUGGGCGCAAGCCUGAUGCAGCCAUGCCGCUUGUAUGAAGAAGGCCUUCGGGUUGUAAAGUACUUUCAGCGGGGAGGCGUUACCCGCAUAAGAAGCACCGGCUAACUCCGUGCCAGCAGCCGCGGUAAUUC
rnacentral:rRNA from 1 species